UGAAAGAUACUUAGUUACAUUACUGCUCAUU
rnacentral:piRNA from 2 species